rnacentral:rRNA from 1 species
AACGAACGCUGGCGGCAUGCCUAACACAUGCAAGUCGAACGAGACCUUCGGGUCUAGUGGCGCACGGGCGCGUAACGCGUGGGAACCUGCCCUUAGGUUCGGAAUAACUCCCCGAAAGGGGUGCUAAUACCGGAUAAUGUCUUCGGACCAAAGAUUUAUCGCCUUUGGAUGGGCCCGCGUUGGAUUAGCUAGUUGGUAGGGUAAAAGCCUACCAAGGCGACGAUCCAUAGCUGGUCUGAGAGGAUGAUCAGCCACACUGGGACUGAGACACGGCCCAGACUCCUACGGGAAGCAGCAGUGGGGAAUAUUGGACAAUGGGCGAAAGCCUGAUCCAGCAAUGCCGCGUGAGUGAUGAAGGCCUUAGGGUUGUAAAGCUCUUUUACCCGGGAUGAUAAUGACAGUACCGGGAGAAUAAGCUCCGGCUAACUCCGUG